rnacentral:rRNA from 1 species
UUAAGUUUUGUUUGGCUUGGGCGAGAGUAGUACUAGGAUGGGUGACCUCCUGGGAAGUCCUCGUGUUGCACCCC